UGGCCUGGUGCCUUGAUUUGCUCUCCUCCAAGACCUUAAAUGUCAACAUUUUAUUUUUCUUUCUCUUUAAGCAUGGAUCCCUGAGUUCUGUCCACAAUACUACAAGACAAUUUGAUAUCAUAACAGAAUACUGCAGACAUAAUGCUGAGUGAAGAAGAGAAGAAAUGGGAAGGCUUGGUUGUGUGGAAACUGAGUUCUUGGAAAGAGAUACUUGAUAAGGGCUUGGAAAGCUAAGGUCUGUCCACAAUACGACAAGACUAUUUGACAUCAUAAUAAAACACUGCAAUUAUGAUGCUGAGUGAUGAAGAGUAGAAAUGGGAAGACUUGGUUGUGCAGAAACUGAGUUCUUGAAAAUAGGAGAUGUUUGAUGAGGGUGAGUGGAUUACAGCUCGGUUUAAUAUCCGAUGGAAACCAAAA
rnacentral:lncRNA from 1 species